AGAGUUUGAUCAUGGCUCAGAUUGAACGCUGGCGGCAGGCCUAACACAUGCAAGUCGAACGGUAACAGAAAGCAGCUUGCUGCUUUGCUGACGAGUGGCGGACGGGUGAGUAAUGUCUGGGAAACUGCCUGAUGGAGGGGGAUAACUACUGGAAACGGUAGCUAAUACCGCAUAACGUCGCAAGACCAAAGAGGGGGACCUUCGGGCCUCUUGCCAUCGGAUGUGCCCAGAUGGGAUUAGCUAGUAGGUGGGGUAAAGGCUCACCUAGGCGACGAUCCCUAGCUGGUCUGAGAGGAUGACCAGCCACACUGGAACUGAGACACGGUCCAGACUCCUACGGGAGGCAGCAGUGGGGAAUAUUGCACAAUGGGCGCAAGCCUGAUGCAGCCAUGCCGCGUGUAUGAAGAAGGCCUUCGGGUUGUAAAGUACUUUCAGCGGGGAGGAAGGGAGUAAAGUUAAUACCUUUGCUCAUUGACGUUACCCGCAGAAGAAGCACCGGCUAACUCCGUGCCAGCAGCCGCGGUAAUACGGAGGGUGCAAGCGUUAAUCGGAAUUACUGGGCGUAAAGCGCACGCAGGCGGUUUGUUAAGUCAGAUGUGAAAUCCCCGGGCUCAACCUGGGAACUGCAUCUGAUACUGGCAAGCUUGAGUCUCGUAGAGGGGCUGAUAAUUCCAGGUGUAGCGGUGAAAUGCGUAGAGAUCUGGAGGAAUACCGGUGGCGAAGGCGGCCCCCUGGACGAAGACUGACGCUCAGGUGCGAAAGCGUGGGGAGCAAACAGGAUUAGAUACCCUGGUAGUCCACGCCGUAAACGAUGUCGACUUGGAGGUUGUGCCCUUGAGGCGUGGCUUCCGGAGCUAACGCGUUAAGUCGACCGCCUGGGGAGUACGGCCGCAAGGUUAAAACUCAAAUGAAUUGACGGGGGCCCGCACAAGCGGUGGAGCAUGUGGUUUAAUUCGAUGCAACGCGAAGAACCUUACCUGGUCUUGACAUCCACGGAAGUUUUCAGAGAUGAGAAUGUGCCUUCGGGAACCGUGAGACAGGUGCUGCAUGGCUGUCGUCAGCUCGUGUUGUGAAAUGUUGGGUUAAGUCCCGCAACGAGCGCAACCCUUAUCCUUUGUUGCCAGCGGUCCGGCCGGGAACUCAAAGGAGACUGCCAGUGAUAAACUGGAGGAAGGUGGGGAUGACGUCAAGUCAUCAUGGCCCUUACGACCAGGGCUACACACGUGCUACAAUGGCGCAUACAAAGAGAAGCGAUCUCGCGAGAGCAAGCGGACCUCAUAAAGUGCGUCGUAGUCCGGAUUGGAGUCUGCAACUCGACUCCAUGAAGUCGGAAUCGCUAGUAAUCGUGGAUCAGAAUGCCACGGUGAAUACGUUCCCGGGCCUUGUACACACCGCCCGUCACACCAUGGGAGUGGGUUGCAAAAGAAGUAGGUAGCUUAACCUUCGGGAGGGCGCUUACCACUUUGUGAUUCAUGACUGGGGUGAAGUCGUAACAAGGUAACCGUAGGGGAACCUGCGGUUGGAUCACCU
rnacentral:rRNA from 1 species